rnacentral:rRNA from 1 species
UGCCGGUUCUUAGUUGGUGGAGUGAUUUGUCAGAUUAAUUUCGAUAACGAACGAGACCUUCACUGUUAACUAGCCCGCAUUGCUUUGGCAGUGCGCUGGCUUCUUAGCGGGACUAUUGGCGCGAGCCAAUGGAAGUUGGAGGCGAUAACAGGUCUGUGAUGCCCUUAGAUGUUCUGGGCCGCACGCGCGCUACACUGACGGAGCCAGCGAGUACUUCCUUAACCGACAGGUUUGGGUAAUCUUGUUAAACUCCGUCGUGCUGGGGAUAGAGUGUUGCAAUUUUCACUCUUCAACGAGGAAUCCCUAGUAAGCGCAAGUCAUCAGCUUGCGUUGAUUACGUCCCUGCCCUUUGUACACACCGCCCGUCGCUACUACCGAUUGAAUGGCUCAGUGAGGCGUCCGGACUGGCCCAGAGAGGUGGGAAACUACCACUCCGGGCCGGAAAGCUCUCC